rnacentral:lncRNA from 1 species
AUAUGAGAACGAUAAGGACCUGAAGGCUAUCAAGCUUUUAUGUGGCUUUUAGGGACAAGGGAAAAUGAGGAAGAAAAAUCACUAUUUGUUAUAGUAUACUCUGCAUAGGUAAUGCCUCCCAAUUUUAUCUGAUUUCAAUUUACAAGUAAUUAGAAUUGAGUUUUAAUAUAGUUGUCUUUGACUUCGAAAAUGUAUAUUGAGAACAUAGCACAUCCAGUCAUGAAAAAAUGUAUAUUAGGAUAGCUUAUGAAAGCUGAUUUUUGUGAUUAUGUUGAUUAUUGCUUAGGAUAGCUGAUUUUUUUUCCUCCAUAAAGGUUGGUUUCAAUGAAAGAUUGUUAUAACCGUGUAAGUCAUAGCCACCAUAGUGUAGCAGUAGGCAAAAAGGUUUUUCUGUAGCAAUUUUCUGGUGUUGUUGUUGUCUCUGUGCUGCUGCUGUAGUGUGUCUGCUGGUGUUGUUAUUACUAUUUUUCUGGUGUUGGGUUCGGCUGUUGUUUAUGCUGCUAAAACCACUACUGUUUGGCUGAUUGCAGGUGCUGUCAGUGUUUGUGCUAAGCCUGUGUGUGUGCUUUAGUCAGUUGUUUGAGCAGCAGGUUUUGCUUCUUCCAUGUAGGUGUUUUGGUGCUGUUUGGCGUGGCCGUGUUUUUGAGCAUUGGCCCUUUGUAAUCUGUUUUUCUG